rnacentral:rRNA from 1 species
AGACGGGGGGGGCGAGCGUUGUUCGGAAUUACUGGGCGUAAAGGGCGCGCAGGCGGCCUGGGAAGUCUUGGGUGAAAGCCCCCAGCUCAACUGGGGAAUGGCCUGAGAAACCACUAGGCUGGAGUGCUGGAGAGGGAAGCGGAAUUCCCGGUGGAGCGGUGAAAUGCGUAGAUAUCGGGAGGAACACCAGAGGCGAAGGCGGCUUCCUGGACAGACACUGACGCUGAGGCGCGAAAGCUAGGGGAGCAAACGGGAUUAGAUACCCCAGUAGUCC